rnacentral:rRNA from 1 species
GAUGAACGCUGGCGGCGUGCCUAAUACAUGCAAGUCGAGCGAACGGACGAGAAGCUUGCUUCUCUGAUGUUAGCGGCGGACGGGUGAGUAACACGUGGAUAACCUACCUAUAAGACUGGGAUAACUUCGGGAAACCGGAGCUAAUACCGGAUAAUAUUUUGAACCGCAUGGUUCAAAAGUGAAAGACGGUCUUGCUGUCACUUAUAGAUGGAUCCGCGCUGCAUUAGCUAGUUGGUAAGGUAACGGCUUACCAAGGCAACGAUGCAUAGCCGACCUGAGAGGGUGAUCGGCCACACUGGAACUGAGACACGGUCCAGACUCCUACGGGAGGCAGCAGUAGGGAAUCUUCCGCAAUGGGCGAAAGCCUGACGGAGCAACGCCGCGUGAGUGAUGAAGGUCUUCGGAUCGUAAAACUCUGUUAUUAGGGAAGAACAUAUGUGUAAGUAACUGUGCACAUCUUGACGGUACCUAAUCAGAAAGCCACGGCUAACUACGUGCCAGCAGCCGCGGUAAUACGUAGGUGGCAAGCGUUAUCCGGAAUUAUUGGGCGUAAAGCGCGCGUAGGCGGUUUUUUAAGUCUGAUGUGAAAGCCCACGGCUCAACCGUGGAGGGUCAUUGGAAACUGGAAAACUUGAGUGCAGAAGAGGAAAGUGGAAUUCCAUGUGUAGCGGUGAAAUGCGCAGAGAUAUGGAGGAACACCAGUGGCGAAGGCGACUUUCUGGUCUGUAACUGACGCUGAUGUGCGAAAGCGUGGGGAUCAAACAGGAUUAGAUACCCUGGUAGUCCACGCCGUAAACGAUGAGUGCUAAGUGUUAGGGGGUUUCCGCCCCUUAGUGCUGCAGCUAACGCAUUAAGCACUCCGCCUGGGGAGUACGACCGCAAGGUUGAAACUCAAAGGAAUUGACGGGGACCCGCACAAGCGGUGGAGCAUGUGGUUUAAUUCGAAGCAACGCGAAGAACCUUACCAAAUCUUGACAUCCUUUGACAACUCUAGAGAUAGAGCCUUCCCCUUCGGGGGACAAAGUGACAGGUGGUGCAUGGUUGUCGUCAGCUCGUGUCGUGAGGUGUUGGGUUAAGUCCCGCAACGAGCGCAACCCUUAAGCUUAGUUGCCAUCAUUAAGUUGGGCACUCUAAGUUGACUGCCGGUGACAAACCGGAGGAAGGUGGGGAUGACGUCAAAUCAUCAUACCCCUUAUGAUUUGGGCUACACACGUGCUACAAUGGACAAUACAAAGGGCAGCGAAACCGCGAGGUCAAGCAAAUCCCAUAAAGUUGUUCUCAGUUCGGAUUGUAGUCUGCAACUCGACUACAUGAAGCUGGAAUCGCUAGUAAUCGUAGAUCAGCAUGCUACGGUGAAUACGUUCCCGGGUCU